GCGGAUGUAGCCAAGUGGAUCAAGGCAGUG
rnacentral:ncRNA from 22 species